UACAGAGGUGGCAAGCGUUGUUCGGAAUUACUGGGCGUAAAGCGUGCGUAGACGGUUAUUUAAGUCGGGUGUGAAAGCCCCGGGCUCAACCUGGGAAUUGCAUUCGAGACUGAAUAGCUAGGGUACGGUAGAGGGAAGUGGAAUUUCCGGUGUAGCGGUGAAAUGCGUAGAUAUCGGAAGGAACAUCAGUGGCGAAAGCGACUUCCUGGACCAGUACCGACGUCAGGCACGAAAGCGUGGGGAGCAAACAGG
rnacentral:rRNA from 1 species